CUGGACACUGCCCUGAGUGCCUCUAUGCCUCUGCUCACUCCCAAACCGUGGGGACUGUCAGGGCUUAGCAGAGACGUGGGCUGAAGGAAAUCUGAGCUGGCGAAUGACCAUCAACAUCCCAACUGCUGCAGCUUCAUGUGAAGGUCUGCUCCUGUCACCUUCAAAACUCUGCAGCUUCACAGCAUGCCCCUAUAAGGUCUGGCUCUAACCCAAGCUGAACGUCUCGAGGCCUCAGGAACGACAUUUAAAUUUGAAAGCAUUUUUCCAGGCUUGGCAAGAACUUACUGGGUGACCUGUCUUUGGCUUUGAUGUCACACCCCCUUCAGGGAUAAGGAAUUCCCAUGUGCCACAGAGAUGGUCCAAAGCCAGCCCAGGACACACAGCCAUCUGCGCACAGGACGGCAAUAAAUGUGACUUCUGUUUCUGCCUGAAGAAGGUGCCACCUUCAAGCUGGGAGUAAACAUAUGCAAGCCAAGGCACUCCAGAAGAAUUCAGAUAUUUUCAAAUCACCCAUAUUCCUCAACCAUCACCCUUUUUAGCUUUGGAAAAUGUUUUUUCAACUAAGAUAUUCUUAUCUUCACUCUUUAUUUUCUGUAAACCAGCUUAAUUCCCUUCCUUAGUGAUUUUGUUUGACUA